ACUUCCGAAACUUAAGGAUGAGUUCUCCGGAAGCUCCAUUGAUUUGGCAUUACCCCACCAUUUGUAAAAAUAAACUUAAGGAUUUCUUUGUCUAGAACAUAUUGUAUGUUAUCAGUUUAGAUAAAUGACAGUCAACUAAAUUUCAAAUUGGGGUCAGUUGAUUUUGAGAGUUCGCCGGACUAACCCGGAGGGAAGGAAGGAGAAGGGAUUUACCGGAGAGCUAUCCCAUUAUCUAUCUUAGGGUUUAGGGUGGAGGCGGUGGUGGGGCUUCUUCACCAUUUUCUAUCUUAGGGUUUAGGAAGGGGGCGGUGUACUCGCGGCGAGUGUUUUGAGUACUCAUAGAACCGAAGACUUUGUAUGAUAAAGUUGUGUUUGUUUUACCGAAUAUUUUGCAAACCGAUUCCAACGCAAAUUCAUAGACUAGUUAUAGUUAUAGGUUGUGAUAUUAGCUAGAUCGGGUUCAGCUGGUGCACAAGAGGAACUAGGUAACUUGCCAAAUUUGAAUGAUUAUUUUUCUUAUUGUUUUGUCCGAACAUUAGACCGAGUUUGAAUUUUGAAGAACGUUAGCCUUCUUAGCUGUUCCGAAAUGUGGUUUGCUUUAUUCCAGCCAGCUUUGGUUCACGGCUGCUCGCUCACACGGUGGUUUGCGCCUGUGCACUCCUCGGAAAAAGUACUACAGAUGAAAGCCGUAUUUAUCUUGCACUUAAUAGACCUUUUAGGCUUCCACCCACCCCUUUACCUCCCCAAGAAACACUCACCCUGACGAUAUACUCUAGGAGUACGCAGUUUGCUCUUUCUUUCAAUACUGUGGUUUGCUCUUUCUUUCUUUACCUUCCACGGCGCCUGUCAUGGCCUCCUCAUCGUCGCCAACACAAACGUCCCCUAUGAAGACGCCUUCUAUCUGUGCAACCCGGCCACUCACCAGUGCGCUCCUCUGCCCCAGCUUCCACCGCGCUGUUCCGGCGCCGCCAUAGCCGGCUUCUACCGGCACCACCCGUCCCAGGAAUACCGCGUGUUGUACUGGCUCGUGUCCAAUGGACGGGUGCAAUACUGCAUCCUCACGCUGGGAUCCAAUGAGCCAAGAUGCAUCUACGAAGGGCAGCUUGCAAUUCUUUCUAAGUCCAAGUCAGUUUAUAAGGUGUUACUACGGUGGAUGCCCUCUUGGUACUGUGAUGCACCAGUUCUCCACCGUGGCAGCCUGCACUGGGAGGUGGGGUGGUACCACAAGGACAUCACUAACAUAAUGGUGUUUGACACGGUGGCUGAGACAUUCCGGUGGAUGCACCGUCCCGCCUCGUCGGGCUUUCGGGUGUGGUUGCUAGAGAUGGAUGGUAAGCUUGCCAUGAGCAGCACCGUCGAUGGAAUCCUCUUGGAUUUUUCAGUGACACAGGACUAUGAGGCCGAGGUAUGGGCUUUCAAGCUCCGGAUUAACUUGUUGGUGGUCGCAGCACCGCUGCAGCUUGAUUCCUCGCCGCCGCAGCCUGGUUCACCAAGUGAAUAUAACUACCGCAGUGUGGUAGUGGUCAAUGAUCGUGAACUUCUGAUCCAGCUCCCUGGGUGCCUGCUGCAUUGUGACGUCGAUGGAAGGUUCUUAGGAAGCGUGGAAUUAAUGCUAAGUUGCCGAAGACUUGGGGAUCAUUUCCAAGAUGCUGAAUACAUGGCGAUCAUUUCCAGUUUCAUGUUGUGUCUCCAGAAAAAUGGCCUCCGGCUGGCUUCACAUUUGUUCCAGGAAAGUAUUUACCCCCUUCCAUGCUUGGAGGUGCCAGACGAAGAUGGUGAGAGCAAGCCACAUCCAUUUAUCCUAGCCUCCUAGGAGGCUGUUUUCCUCAUACGGCUGAUGUGCCGUUUUCUUAGGUUCUUGGUGCUUGUAGUACUGAACAUGUUUGAUCUUUGCAGUAGCAUUCCUCCCAUAUCACCUCCCAUAUCACCAUAUGGUGCUUAUUUACCUUUUUGAAUAAAGGUGUGAAAUGUGAACCAUGAGGAUUCGAUCUAUGUAACGCUGCAAUUUUCCCUGUUAGUUCGCUUUUCAUUCACUUUCAGGAGCAACAUAAGCCAAAGUGGUAACAAUGUUGUUGUUGGAAUAAGCCACGGUAUGGGUGGUGAUCAUGUGCGUGUGUGCGCGAUGAUCGAGCCAGUCGCCGGUCCGUUGCCGCGUCGCGGCCGUGGCAAGGUGUACGUAUGGGCGUGCGUGUGUAUCGUGUGUGCGUGUGCGCGCAUGCAUGGGGCGUGUAGGUGCACGAGUACGUGCUUGUGUUCGCGUCAAGGUCUAGAUCAAGUCUGGACGUUGGUUUGGUCACGUUCAAGGAUAGAUUAGUGUCAAACCAGGUUUGUAGCUAGCUCCGUUGUGUAACAACGGCGGGCGCAUGAUGGCAUCCAGGUCAAGCGGAGGAGUGGGCAGCUCACGUUGGAAGACCGGAUCGCCAGGGAAGCGUGCGUGGGGUGACCGCGGCGAGCGUGGGCGCUACGUCCUGGUUAGCUACAAAUACGGCUAGAAGUCGAGUCGGUUGUAACAGUUUGUGCUGAAAGAAAAAAUUGCCGUCCGCGCGGCGGGCGUUCGUCGCCAAACACCAGUGCUCCUCUUUCUUCUUCCUACGUCCAGAGCGAGAGCAAGAGAGAGCUAGGGGUUAGACCCAACAGUUGUAUGGCUUGCCUUAUCACCAUGUCAGGAAAGCAAUGUUAGCUUAAGAAGAAAUUAGCAAGAGGUGAUGUUUUGUGUAUACAAAUAUAUACAGCGCUAUUUACUGUCGGCGGUGAAGAUAUAAGAAACAUAUUAUGACAGUACUAAGAAGGAUUUUGGAUGUGAGAAUUUGUCUAUUAUAAAGAAAAAAUGGUAUAACAUAUUAUGGCCAAUUGUUUUGAAGUUUCAAAAAAUAAAAAAACUUGGGUGUAAUAAACACAUUAGAAUGCAUUUGCACAGUUCAAGGAAAUGACUGGAUUUAUAGUCUGGGAAUUGUUUUUAGAUUGAAGGCCUAUGCCCGGCCUUAGAAUGAGGUCCUCAAGUUAAGUUAUUAGAAGGACAAGUUCAAGCGAAUAUUCGUUACUGAGCCUAGACUCAUCUGCUCCAUAAAUUUUAAAAAACUAGAAAAAAAAUCAUAAAUAUCUUUCUUUUUUUUUGCCAUGGAAGAUGUUUGAGAGUGUUCGGACAAAAUUUGGUCGUGUUCGGACAUCUUGGACAUCUGAGGAGAUUGUGGGGAAAAAGAGAAAACCGUUCCGAAAGUGCGUGAACAUUAAACUUUCUCACAGACCCCAAUUUUUUUCCCUGGGAGUUACUCAGUUGUCCAAACAUGAUGAAGUUUGGCACGAACAUGACACACUCAAACAUCUUCCAUGCCAAAAAAAUUCAGAUGUUUUUGAAUAUUUCUAGUAUUUUUUCUGAAUUUUUGUUCACGCAAGGUAGUAGAUGAGAUCGGAAGCCGAAUCACCCUGUCCAAGUUCAAGCUACUAAGAGCAUCUCCAAAAGAGACACUAAAAGUAACCCGCAUUGGAAAAACCGCUAAUUUACCGCAUGGAGCAUCUCCAACAAUCUCCAACAGACGCUGCAAAAGCCAGCACGUUGCAAAAUCCAUCCAGCGCGCUGGGAAUUUCUGCAUCGCACACGGGAUAUUUGGUGUGCGGCGUACAACGCGCUGGACAAUCUGGAGACGACGCGCGAAGACCAACUGCUCCGCUCCCUCUGCUCGUCCCGCCUCGAGCUCGCCGCUAUCGGCCGCCACAGCUCCUCUAAAUGCUCAUCCUCUGCUCGUCCCCGCACGGGGUGGAGCCACCGCUGCCUUUCUGCUCGCCAGCUGCAGCUCGCCGCCUCGAGUUUGCCGGCCGGGAGCCGCCGUUGCCCUUCUGCUCGCCGCCUCCCUACAGCUCGUCGCCUCGAUCUCGCUGGCCGGGCUGUGCGUGUGGAGCUUGCGAUUUCAAUCGAUUGCAAGCUAGCUUGCUCCAACAAUUAAGGGAAGCUAUGCUAGCUAGCUCGUGUUUGCGAUUCCAACAAUCACAGCAAGCUAGCUCGCGUGCGGUGGCCGGCGGAACAUGGUUUGCAAGCUAUCUUGCUCCAACGAUUGGGGACUUAAUUGCGUUUUUGUUUUGCUCAAAUGGGCUUAUUUGUAAAUGUUAGGGACCUGUCUGUUGUAGACAUAUUUCUGGCGCUUUAUUUUUUAGUGCGUCUGUUAGACUGCUGCGCGCUAUCCGUUGCCCGCUAUAUUUUUGUGCGUUUGCUGGACUGAAUCGGCCACGACGUGCUAAAAUUACUAAAAUAGUGUUGUAAACUUAUUUUAACAUGCCGCUAUUUUGGGCAGCUAUUGGAGAUGCUCUAAGGGUGUGUUCGGUUUCCGGAACCAAGUGGAACGGCACGGGUCGGUUCCGUCCCGAAGGCCCAUUCAUAUGUUCGGAUCGACAGAGGAACCGGAAUCGGUCGAUUCCUGGGAACGGCAUAUUCCCUGCAUAUGCCGUCCUGCGUGGUCUCUUGAAAUCGAGCGGACUACACGGAACCGGUCGGCUCUUUCCUUUCCCCCUUCUCUCGCGCUACCCCGCCGCUGCUCAUCCGCGUGCGCCGCUGCCGCCUCGUCUUUGUGCAUCGCCGCGUCUGCCGCCGCCGCUGUCGCCUCGUCGGUGUGCGCCGACGCUGCCGCCUCGUUUCUGUGCGCCGCCGCCGCCGCCGCUCGUCUGUGUGCACUGCUGCAGCCUCGACGACUGCGCUCGUCGUCGCGUGUGCGUGCGCCGCCGCCGCUUGUCUGCGUGCGUGGUCGCCGCCUCGUCUACAUCUCCUCGUCCCGUUCCUUCCUUCACUAUCUCGCCGCGCUGGGGAAGAAGGCGCCAUGCGGGCGAAGAGGGAGGCGAGGUGACGGCUCGGCGUCUUGGUGGGGGCGUGCUUCCCCGUUCCUCUCCUAAGAGUCAUUUCAUCCCACCUCGUUCCGUUCUAGCCGAACACCAAGAUGGAAUCAUUCCAUUCCUUUGGAAUGGAACGAAUGGACGGUUCCAUGACAUUACACGUGGUUCUAGAACCAAACACACCUUAAAUACCCAAGCAUCUAUUCCAGACAAGGUUUUUGCUCCAAGAAUCAGCCACUUGUAUGAAAAUGAUGUUUGGGUAAAUUUGCAUGUGGCACGUGGUAUUAAUUCGGUACCUGGCGGUGUAGAAAGGCCUUGUGGAUUCACUUAUUUGAUUCAAAUUUUUUGAACCGGUGUGAUGGUUCUUUUGGUUGGUUUAGCAAUUUUGGUUGCAUGUGGGGCAGGCAGGGGGCGUGCAGGACGCCGCUGUCCUGUUGAUCUGCUUGCAUGGGCUCUGUCGUGCGGCAGGCUGCGUGCAUCCUUCUGCGUGGCUUCGUGCAUGUGCGGACUGACUUUUGCUGUUCUUUGUUGUCGUUGCGCUGCGAUCGUUUGUUUGCAUCUAUCCUCUCGAUCCUCUCCGCGUGUCUGGUCGUCGUCGCCCGACAAAAUCGAAGCACACCGCCACCGCCGCACAAGCCUAUACAUAAGAAGAGGCUCUCUCCUUCCCAGCGGCAGCGUACGUCGGCCACAGUAGUCAUCUACAUGCCCAGAACGGCCUGGCGCCACUGCUCGAAGACACCUCGAAGCUCCCGUCGUUGCUGCCGCAUUUCGGCCCCAAGCCCCAGUCCAGCGGGAGGACGCCUCCUGCGCCGGCACCGUCCAUAGGUCUGCCCCAGCACCGUUACCGGCGUCUCUCGGUCAUUGUCGUCAAUGAUGCAUCUUGCUCAGGCAGGACCACAUGUACGUACGGCGUGCGCUUGACGGCGAAAAUGGUGUUGAGGGAUCUUGCGAGCCGCGCGUCGGGGGUAGCUCCCAGCGAGAGAUGACUGUCCGCUGCUUCUUUUUGGUCGCCCACGACUGUGCCGUGGUCGGCGGCCUAUACCGCACCUCCUUCCGCCUCCCCGCACGGCGCCCAGGUCGUGCACUACUGCCAGGACAGGCUGCACGCUGUGUUCGCCGAGGAGCCGCGUGCCGCAGAGGAUUGCGUCGGGGCCUUCGACGACCUCUUCAAGUGGACUGCUUCUACGGUUCAACCUUGUCGAUGCCGGAGUCGAGGUCACGGUGGUGCGUUGUCACGCCGCCGUUUCCGAUGUCCUCGCUAUCGUCGUGGGGCCCGUAUGUCUCAUAUGCGAGUUGUUAGAAUUUUGAUUGUCCAUGUUUGACAUCAAUUGAACGAGGAAUCAAUCAGUGCAGUAUUUCAUAUUUCAGUGUUUGAUUGAGUGAUGCAGGUUAGCCUAAUUCAAAAUAAAAUGGUUUGACUGAAGUGACUCCUCAUUUUUAUUUCAGAUCUUCCUUUUAUUUCCACUAGAUCUAUUUUAUUUUCAGGCUGUAACUUAAGUGGAGAUGUUGAACUUCCAAAGGACGAGAGCAUGAUGCCAGGGAAAUCCAUAAUGGUUUGUUAAAUUACUGUUUGCAUUGAUUAUUUGCCCCCUAUUAAUUUGCUAUGUUCAAGGCAAUUGAAUUUCUGUUUCCUGAAAAAAAAAGGUAAUUGAAUUUUUGUUUCCCCCAAAAAAAUGCAAUUGAGUUUCUACUUCAUAGUCGACAAUUAAACAUAAUAUAUAUAGAUUUAUCUAGGGGUAUGACAUUUUUUUAUUAUUCUCAACCAAUUGUAAGUAUGGCAACAAUGGAUAUAUAGAUGUACCAUUUCUACUUUGAAUGAAAUGAAAAACAAUAAUUUGGUGUUUGCCCAUAUAAAAAAAGCAACAAAACCAACACAUAGAUUUUCUUCUCACCACAUAGAAGUAUCUCUACUCCUAAUGGACGAAUUGGUUGAAUAGUCCCCCACUUUCAACCGGUUUAUUUUCAACCGGUUUAUUUUCAACCGGUUUUUCUUCGUCCCACCUCUCACCAGCCCCUCCCACCAGUUUUUCUCUUUUCUCGUCUGACCGGCAAUACCCAACGUAUUUAUGGUAAUCAAUCAUAAUUAAUCCACGUAUAGUAAUAAAUCAAUCCAGGUAUGGUAAGGCCAUAACUCAAGAAAUUUUGAAUAUGGUAAUUAUAUGGUAAUAAAUGUAAAUUACCCCAAAGGCUAUCAAUCCAGAUAUGGUAAGGCCAUAACUCGGGAAAUAUCGAAUAUGGUAAUAAAUUUAAAUUACCACCAGGUAUGGUAAGGCUAUCCACGUAUAGUAAUAAAUCAUAUAGUAAUAAAUCAUAAUUAAUCCACGUAUAGUAAUAAAUCAAUCCAGGUAUGGUAAGGUCAUAACUCAGGAAAUUUUGAAUAUGGUAAUUAUAUGGUAAUAAAUUUAAAUUACCCCAAAGGCUAUCAAUCCAGGUAUGGUAAGGCCAUAAAUUGGGAAAUAUCGAAUAUGGUAAUAAAUUUAAAUUACCCCAAAGGCUAUCAAUCCAGGUAUGCUAAGGCCAUAACUCGGGAAAUAUCGAAUAUGGUAAUAAAUUUAAAUUACCACCAGGUAUGGUAAGGCUAUCGAUCCAGGUAUGGCACACCCUCACCUGAUCACCUAUCACAAUCUCCAGCCCCACGCACGCACCAAAGAACCCACCCGGCACCAAACGCAGCUCCUCUCGAUCCCCUCGAGUAAACGCCGCCACCGUCGUGCGAUCUUCCUGACACAGACGCCGUCGCCGCCUCCUUCCCACCUACGGCGUCCCCCACGUCCAUGGUGACGGCGCUCGCGUCCUACACUGACCCUCCGCCUCAUAUAGGUUGGUCGUUGAUGGAGUGGGAUGUGCCGCUGCGGUUUGGGGAGGCGCAAUCACGAUCUGGUUGGGAUCUCAGUGUGGACUCGUUCUCUAUGAUGAAGGAUGGCGCUGCCUCCCUGGCAAAUGGGAUCGGAGGAAGGGGCUCUACGUCGUGAAUGUCGGCGAGGCAGCGGCCGAAGGCGAGCCCGACGGUGAGCACGGGUGUUCGUCCCAUGAAAUAGGCGGCCACGGAGGGCGGAUCUGAGGCCACCCCAAUCGUCGGUGGCCCUUCCUUCCAUCGCUCAUCGCCUCCAUUCUCUCUCUCCUCUAAAUCUUUGUCGCCCCUGCCUGAUUCUGGCCGACGCCAUCCGGCUCUCGCAUCGACCACCACCAGCACGGCUGCGGACGAGGCGCAACCGCAGACGCCGCCGCCGCCAUCCUCAUCCACCUCCUCCACCAUCCUUCCCAGCCGUCGUCGGGGGCACCCGCCAUCUGCGCUCUAGCCCACCCGCUCCCUCCUAUCCCCUCCCCCUGCCUGCCAGCCCCGUGAUCCAUCGCACAGAUGGCAGGUACUACAACGACCUCCUCCCCAGCGGAUCCGGCCUCCUCCGAUGGAGAUCCAUCAUGGGCACCGCCUUAUUCUCAUGCGUGCACGUCUAUAUCAACGUCUCAUUCCACCUCACCUGAGCCUUUACCUUCCCACCUCUGCUUCAGAUCCACAUCACUUUGCAAGGUAUGUGCUUGAUUGUUCCGAACUGGAUCGAUGGAUUAUGCAAGGUACUUUGGGUGUCGUCAUUGACGGCAAUUGUCACGCCAUGCUACCAUCGGAGGGGUCCCUCAUCGAUGAUUAGGGUCUUCCGAACUGCACGAGCUCCAUUGAGAAGGAUGUUUUUAAUUCUGGUUUUGCCUACAUGCUUUCUUUGCCUAUAUCUACUUAGCUAAUGUCUUCUUAUAGAUAGUAGCUGCUGAAGUGGUGAUCAAAGUUGUUCACUAUAAGGAAACAACCAUGAUAACAAAAGUGUAUAUUCCCUGACCUUUGACCUGAAGUACUUUUUCAUUAGAAACUUGCAACAACCAGGCAUUGAAAUUAGCAACAGCUUCGUACGUACUGAACUAAUUUGCAGCAACACGUACUGAACUAAGUUAGGUUAUGCUCAUCGUUCCAACAUGCUUAGUGAUAACCACCUAGCAAGCUGAUCAAACAUGAAAAAAUUGAAGUGCUACUGCUAAUCGUACUAUUCUGAAUGUGAAAAUCUAUUUAAUUGGCUCUUCUCUAAUUGUACACUUGCAUAAAUCUCAGAUCUUGUAAAUUACAGUAUAACCAUAAAAGUCAUGCUUUGACUCCUAUAGGGCCUUUUGCACUUUAAUAUGACUAAUAAUGUGCCUUAAUAUCACAGAUUGUAUUACUACCUUUCUAAGUGAAUGACAUUCAAGAAGGUCAUUAAAUAAAACCAAGAAAUCCUUCUGGUAUUGAAGUGUAGGAAAGUUGAGACUAUAAAACCAAAAGGUUAUAUUUACGUUUAUUAGAGAAGGUUCUUUACUUUUUAUACGAAAACACAAAUUGUUGCGAUGUAGAGUCUAGGUGGUGGGCCUCCUUGAUCCACUUGGUGGAUGAGGGCGACUCCGGUCCUGGCACCCAUAGUGCCAGUGUCCAAAAAUCAUAGGGCCUGGAUAUAGCUCUAGCAGACGUAUGCGGCUUGCGCAUCGAGCUUGGUCGUCUCGAGCAUGGAGAUAGGCGAGUUGUAGACCAAGAGCUGGUACAGAGAUAGGCGAGUUGUAGACAAGAGCUGGUGGGCAGCAAGAAAUGCAUGCACACCAAAGAACAAAUCUGAGUCACAUGCCUACUUCUAUUGGUUUCUACAAAGAGCGGCUAGCUUAGAUCUUAGACCAGUCGGUCACUGUCGAGGUCGCCAAGGUGAUCUUACAGCACCGCCGUGGGGAUUUCUCAUGAUUUUAUGUAGGCAAGCCGCAAGCGGUGGUGGUGAUUGGCUGGGUGGUGUCGCUGCCUUGGGAAGAGACGAAGUGAUGGUAAAAGUAAGCAGGAUCCGAUGAUUCUUCCGUGGGGAUAGCCAAAGUCAAGAUGUCGACUACAGACUCGUCACAGACUUGCAGUGAACCUGGAUGCGGCGAGCCUGAUUUGUGGAUCGAUGGGGGGUCUUGACUUUGUUAGGCCGGGAUUGGAUGGUUGCGGAGGGUGGUGUGCUUGGUUGGGUUCCCAUGGAAGAAUGUGGCCUCCUCGUGGAUCUGGUCAUGCCCAUCCUAGAGAACAUUGUGUCCCUAGCUCCCUCGAGGAGCAAGGACAGUGCAAGCGGCAGCAGGGGGUAGGGUUGAUGUGGGGAGGGAUGUCGGCGGCUGCUCGAGGUCAUCAUGAUGAAAUCCUUGACGUCCCAUCUUUAUCAAUGGAAGUGGAAGAGCACGAAGUCGAGAUUGGAUAGGAGUUUGAGUUCUUUUUGGCACCGAUCGGUUCCCCACUUUAGAGAUAUAUUUUUUUGCGUGCGAGCAAACAGUGGGUUGAUUCUAAAAGGGAUAGCCACUUUUCAACAGAAGUGCACGACGGACCAAAAAUAUGACCUCAUUUUAUUCGUUUGAUAGAUAUCGUAUUAUUCGUUGUUGUUCGUUCGGUGAAAUUUCCUAAUAUUUGAUUGUUGUGUUUCUAAUUAGAGUACCCCAUAAUCAUCCAAUAUGAGGGGAUGAUAAAUGAAAGAUACUGAUUAUAAAUUUUGAAGAGCCCGUGGCAACGCACGGGCGUUAUACUAGUUCAACAUAAUGCACAAAUAAGGCGUGUUUUUCUUGUUUCUAGAGAUUUUUUACAUUCUUCAACUGCUUAAUCGAUGGAGGACAUUUCAGUUUGUGGGGGGGCGGGCUGUGUACGCGUGUGGUGUGUGUGUGUUGCAUUUUCAUUGUGAUUUGGAUUCCGGGUCAACAACACGUUCUAUCGGGUGGUAGUUCCUGUUUUAUCUUUUUUUUAAGGGAGUUCCUGUUUUAUCAGGUAUAUCAUGCAGUGGGUAAGCGACCGUGUCACAUGAUGUGACCACAUGCUUGUGCUAAUUGUCUACUUUCCAAACGUUUUUUACUACUUACCUAAUACUACUCUAUCCCAUAAUAUAAGACACUUUUGCAAGCUAACAUAGUUUAAAAAACGUCUUACAUUAUAAGACUGAGGGAGCAACAUUUAGGUUAUGAGCAAAAAAAGAUGAGUUCAAAUAAAUACGUGUACCCCUAGACACAUGCUCAAUCGUCCAAUGAAUAAGUUGUAUUUGUUGUAUGUCAAACUACUUUUUGGUUGGUUUAUGUUCCAUGUCCAAGUUGUUGCAAUUCAAAAUUUUCCCUAUCUCACAUGUAUAAAGAGGCACAAUGUAUUACAACAAAAAUGUAAUAGAAAAGACCAUAUACAACUAAAGUAUAUUUACUUACACAAAUAGACAAACAAAUUACUUCCAGAACGAACUAAAUAAUCAAAAAAUCAUGCACAUAAUCCUUUCGGUCACCAUAAACAUAAUUUUUGCGUGCCGGUCAUAGAAUAGAUCACACAUACUUUAACAUUAUCAGUAACAAUCAUAUUUAUCAUAUACUUGAAGCAAUCAGAUAAUCCUGAUUUCAACACAUGAAUGUGUCCACACCAAGCAAUGGUAGUUCAACA
rnacentral:lncRNA from 1 species